rnacentral:rRNA from 1 species
GCUGAACUUAAGCAUAUCAAUUAAGCGGAGGAAAAGAAACCAACAGGGAUUGCCUCAGUAACGGCGAGUGAAGCGGCAACAGCUCAAAUUUGAAAUCUGGUCCUUUGGGGCCCGAGUUGUAAUUUGCAGAGGAAACUUUUUGCAAGGAGCCUUCCGAGUUCCCUGGAACGGGACGCCGCAGAGGGUAACAGCCCCGUACGGUCGGAUUCCGAGCCUCUGUAAAGUUCCUUCGACGAGUCGAGUAGUUUGGGAAUGCUGCUCUAAAUGGGAGGUAAACCCCUUCUAAAGCUAAAUACUGGCCAGAGACCGAUAGCGCACAAGUAGAGUGAUCGAAAGAUGAAAAGCACUUUGAAAAGAGAGUUAAACAGCACGUGAAAUUGUUAAAAGGGAAGCGCUUGUGACCAGACUUGUGCCCGGCGGUUCAGCCGUCCUUCUGGGCGGUGCACUCCGCCGGCUCAGGCCAGCAUCAGUUCGCGGCGGGGGAGAAAAUCAGCGGGAACGUGGCUCUUCGGAGUGUUAUAGCCCGCUGUAAUACCCUGCUGCGGACUGAGGUUCGCGCAUCUGCAUGGAUGCUGGCGUAAUGGUUAUCAGCGACCCGUCUUGAAACACGGACCAAGGAGUCGUCCUAGUAUGCGAGUGUUAGGGUGUAAAACCCUGCGCGAAAUGAAAGUGAACGGAGGUGAGAGCUUCGGCGCAUCAUCGACCGAUCCUGAUGUCUUCGGAUGGAUUUGAGUAUGAGCAUAUUGGGCCGGACCCGAAAGAAGGUGAACUAUGCUUGUAUAGGGUGAAGUCAGAGGAAACUCUGAUGGAGGCUCGCAGCGGUUCCUGACGUGCAAAUCGAUCGUCAAAUAUGAGCAUGGGGGCGAAAGACUUAUCGAACCUUCUAGUAGCUGGUUUCCGUCGAAGUUUCCCUCAGGAUAGCAGUGUUGAUCUUCAGUUUUAUGAGGUAAAGCGAAUGAUUAGGGAAUCGGGGGCGCUAUUUAGCCGUUCAUCCAUUCUCAAACUUUAAAUAUGUAAGAAGCCCUCGUUUCUUCAGUGAACGUGGGCAUUCGAAUGUGCAACACUAGUGGGCCAUUUUUGGAAAGCAGAACUUGGCGAUGCGGGAUGAACCGAUCGCGGGGAUAAGGUGCCGGAGUGGACGCUCAUCUGAUACCACAAAA